GUACCUUUUAAAAAUGUCCAGAGAGGCAUUUAAGGGUGUUCAAGUAAAGCGUGGAAGGGUUUCAUACGGGAACUAUACACGCCAACUAAAGGCCACCCUUAUAAAAAGGGUGGUUUUUUUAU
rfam:Bacillaceae bacterium MTCC 8252 Contig12, whole genome shotgun sequence.